rnacentral:rRNA from 1 species
GCACAAGCGGUGAGCAUGUGGUUUAAUUCGAAGCAACGCGAAGAACCUUACCAGGUCUUGACAUCCCCUGACAACCCGAGAGAUCGGGCGUUCCCCUUCGGGGGACAGGGUGACAGGUGGUGCAUGGUUGUCGUCAGCUCGUGUCGUGAGAUGUUGGGUUAAGUCCCGCAACGAGCGCAACCCUCGACCUUAGUUGCCAGCAUUCAGUUGGGCACUCUAAGGUGACUGCCGGCUAAAAGUCGGAGGAAGUGGGGAUGACGUCAAAUCAUCAUGCCCCUUAUGACCUGGGCUACACACGUGCUACAAUGGGCGGUACAAAGGGUCGCGAACCCGCGAGGGGGAGCCAAUCCCAAAAAGCCGCUCUCAGUUCGGAUUGCAGGCUGCAACUCGCCUGCAUGAAGCCGGAAUCGCUAGUAAUCGCGGAUCAGCAUGCCGCGGUGAAUACGUUCCCGGACCUU